rnacentral:rRNA from 1 species
GCAAGUCGAGCGGUAGAGAGAAGCUUGCUUCUCUUGAGAGCGGCGGACGGGUGAGUAAUGCCUAGGAAUCUGCCUAGUGGUGGGGGAUAACGUUCGGAAACGGACGCUAAUACCGCAUACGUCCUACGGGAGAAAGCGGGGGACCUUCGGGCCUCGCGCCAUUAGAUGAGCCUAGGUCGGAUUAGCUAGUUGGUGAGGUAAUGGCUCACCAAGGCGACGAUCCGUAACUGGUCUGAGAGGAUGAUCAGUCACACUGGAACUGAGACACGGUCCAGACUCCUACGGGAGGCAGCAGUGGGGAAUAUUGGACAAUGGGCGAAAGCCUGAUCCAGCCAUGCCGCGUGUGUGAAGAAGGUCUUCGGAUUGUAAAGCACUUUAAGUUGGGAGGAAGGGUAGUAACUUAAUACGUUGCUACUUUGACGUUACCGACAGAAUAAGCACCGGCUAACUUCGUGCCAGCAGCCGCGGUAAUACGAAGGGUGCAAGCGUUAAUCGGAAUUACUGGGCGUAAAGCGCGCGUAGGUGGUUCAGUAAGUUGGAAGUGAAAUCCCCGGGCUCAACCUGGGAACUGCUUUCAAAACUGCUGAGCUAGAGUACGGUAGAGGGUGGUGGAAUUUCCUGUGUAGCGGUGAAAUGCGUAGAUAUAGGAAGGAACACCAGUGGCGAAGGCGACCACCUGGACUGAUACUGACACUGAGGUGCGAAAGCGUGGGGAGCAAACAGGAUUAGAUACCCUGGUAGUCCACGCCGUAAACGAUGUCAACUAGCCGUUGGGAGUCUUGAACUCUUAGUGGCGCAGCUAACGCAUUAAGUUGACCGCCUGGGGAGUACGGCCGCAAGGUUAAAACUCAAAUGAAUUGACG